rnacentral:rRNA from 1 species
AUUGAACGCUGGCGGCAGGCCUAACACAUGCAAGUCGAACGAGAGGCGGACGAGUGAGUAAUGUCUGGGAAACUGCCCGAUGGCGGGGGGGAACAACUGGAAACGGUAGAUAAUACCGCAUACCACAGGAUGUGCCCCGAGGGGAUUAGCUAGUAGGUGGGGUAAUGGCUCACCUGGGCGACGAUCCCUAGCUGGUCUGAGAGGAUGACCAGACACACGGGAACUGAGACACGGUCCAGACUCCUACGGGAGUCAGCAGUGGGGAAUAUUGCACAAUGGGCGCAAGCCUGAUGCAGCCAUGCCGCGUGUAUGAAGAAGGCCUUCGGGUUGUAAAGUACUUUCAGCGAGGAGGCGUUACUCGCAGAAGAAGCACCGGCUAACUCCGUGCCAGCAGCCGCGGUAAUAC